UACGGGGGGGCAAGCGUUGUUCGGAAUUACUGGGCGUAAAGGGCUCGUAGGCGGCCAACUAAGUCAGACGUGAAAUCCCCAGGCUCAACCUGGGAACUGCGUCUGAUACUGGAUGGCUUGAAUUCGGGAGAGGGAUGCAGAAUUCCAGGUGUAGCGGUGAAAUGCGUAGAUAUCUGGAGGAAUACCGGUGGCGAAGGCGGCAUCCUGGACCGACAUUGACGCUGAUGAGCGAAAGCCAGGGGAGCGAACGGG
rnacentral:rRNA from 1 species